rnacentral:rRNA from 1 species
GAGGAAUAUUGGUCAAUGGGCGAGAGCCUGAACCAGCCAAGUAGCGUGCAGGAUGACGGCCCUAUGGGUUGUAAACUGCUUUUGAAGGGGAAUAAAGUGGGGGAUGCGUCCUCCAUUGCAUAUACCCUUGGAAUAAGGACCGGCUAAUUCCGUGCCAGCAGCCGCGGUAAUACGGAAGGUCCAGGCGUUAUCCGGAUUUAUUGGGUUUAAAGGGAGCGUAGGCGGCUUUUUAAGCGUGUUGUGAAAUGCAGGUGCCCAACAUCUGCACUGCAGCGCGAACUGGAGAGCUGGAGGGCGCACGACGCAGGCGGAAUUUGUGGUGUAGCGGUGAAAUGCUUAGAUAUCACGAAGAACCCCGAUUGCGAAGGCAGCUUGCGGGAGCGCACCUGACGCUGAAGCUCGAAAGUGCGGGAAUCAAAC